rnacentral:lncRNA from 1 species
AGGAACACCAAUACCGAUUGUUACAUGGUCAAGAAUCGGAGAACCCCUGCCAGAGACUUCAACAGUGAACAAUGUGCUCCUAGUUAUUCCAAAGGUCAGAAUUGAGGAUGCUGGACCUUAUGUUUGUACUGCUCAGAAUUAUAGAGGAACAGUACAACAAAGCGUCAAUUUGAUUGUCAAAGGUGAUCAAUUAACAUAGUUUCCAGAUCACUGUUAUGCUUAUAUCACUAAAAGUUCUAACACCUAUGCCAUCUGUGCUAUCGUACAGAGAUUGUAACAGCUUGUGUAAGACAUAAACUAAGGAUGACAGAGAAAAACAAUCUUUUCGCAAUGAUACUUGUGUAACCGGAGAAAAUGAUUUCACUGCAAAAUCACUUUGUUUUCCCCGGGGCUCAAACCCAGGACCUCUGUGUAACAAUUCAGCGCUCUGACCGCUUAAACGUUAUGUAGUUGUUUCAUAACAUGAUGUUGGUGUGUAAUUUUGUAAUGAUGAUUUGCAAUUUUUUUAUAUGGC